rnacentral:rRNA from 1 species
UGUUCCGCCAGGAGCAUGGCUGGUUGGCGACCUACGGAAGGGAUAACCGCUGAAAGCAUCUAAGUGGGAAGCCCGUUUCAAGAUGAGAUCUCCCACCGGGUUAACCGGGUAAGGCCCGUGGCAGACCACCACGUUGAUAGGCCGGAGGUGUAAGCACGGCAACGUGUUCAGCCGACCGGUACUAAUCGGCCGAGGGCUUGGUUACA